UUAAAACCAAAUAAAAAAAAAACAAAAACAAUAAACAUAAAUUUUUGACAGCUGUAAGCGUCCAUUCUGUCAGCUGACGAUAGGCGUCGUCUGGACGAUAAGUGUCUCUCCCUAUUGCCCAAAAGUGACGGCGCAGCUUUGCCAUAGGCUUCGUCUCAGCGUGCGCGACCAACCUGACCAGGUCCAUAACCCUCUCGUCCCUGUCUCCUCUCUUUCCCUUUCCCCUUCAAUUUAGUCCUAGCGGUGGCGUCUCGACUUACUUUAUAAAUAGUUAAUGGGGGUAAAACGUAUUUUUUUCAUCCGUUAUUUAAUUUCUGAUUAGAAGUUUGCUUUAAAUUGCAUUUCUUUUUGUUCAUUUUAUACGUAUACAAGUUAGGACUUACGUCAUGGUAUGCUUACGUAUACAAGAACCUUUCUUUAUCGUUUGUGGCAUCGUGGGAAACUGUAUUGGCCGAGGGCCUAACACACGAUGAUGCAUUGUAUGGCCUGGCUGUACAAUAGGUCAAUAGCUAAAACGAUUAAAACAAAUUCACCGCCAUAUUGAAUUGAUACUGUUUGUUUCUACAAUAUCCAGUUCAAGCCAUCUGUUGAGACCCUUCAUUCCUCAAAUCCCGGGAGUUGUUGAAGUGAAAAUGAAUAAUCCAGGCCAAAAUGUCUGACGGCCAGAGGUUCAUCGCUAGUUAUGGGCAGAGCAGCUACUUUUUCUACAUAGGGUAUAAAACACAAAGGAAAGGAUGUACUUUAUUACUAGAAAACCAGAAAAUGUCCAUAGUACCUGGUCCUGGGCAGCACAUUUGUAAAGGGCGUUCACCUUAAAUAAAUCAGUCUGUGGCGUUUGCAAGUAAA